rnacentral:lncRNA from 1 species
CCGCCCUGCUCCCUUCCCCAUCCUGGAUCCCGUGUGCUCCCUGCCAUAUCGGUACCCAGCCCCCAGUGCUGAGGGUCAGGGCCCACUAGCUCAGUAGCCCCCAUCUCACGCAAGCCCCCUCACCUCUGGACUGGGGGGCGAGGCCAGGGCUGCACAGGGCCUGGAGCAGCAGCAGCAGGCUGCAGAGCAUGAGGCUAGUGCCAGAGAGGACCCUCAUAGUUCUGGCAGCACGGGCAGCAGCCGGCACGGUUGUGGGACCAGUGGGGUCCAGGUCUUAUCAACCCCACUGCCCGCCCAGCCUUUGGGUCAGGUGGCCCCCAACUGACGACUGACGUGGGGGCAGCCCGCCCUGGCCCCCAGCCCCCCCAAAGGGCGGGGCUUGGGCUGAAUGGAGGUGUGUGUGCCCUGAGAGGGCGGGAGAGCCUGGCCCAGGCUUCAGAGGCCCCUCUGACCACAAGGGCUCCUUUGCUUGCAGAAGCAACUAGAGCGGCAGCUGGAAUUUGGGAAAUCUCAGGUGGGUGGGGGGUGGCUCUUCCAGGGGCUGGAGCCCGCGCUGCCUUGAAGCUCCACCCCAAGCCUAGGCAUACCUGAGUCCAAUGGCCCGGCCCAGCCCUGUCCUGCACCUUCAUCCCACACCCAAAUCCUUCCCCCACUCACAACCCCAAGUUUCUCAUUAAAUUCACUUCCCCUUCCCCAGCCUCACUGUGCCCUGCUCUCCGCACACGCCCUGCUCUCCAGCUACCCCUGGAUUCUCCUCGAAGGCCUCCAGGCCAUCACACAUGCAGGGCCAUCUGCCCAGAAUCCUUUCCUCUCACUAACUCUCUGCCUUGUAGAAUCUUUCAAGGUCAUAAUUAGGGCUAACAUGUACCUUCACUGUUAGUAUGGGCAGGGCAGUGGAGACCAUGGUUAAGAGCACAGACUUGGGAGCCAGGUUACCUGGGUUUGCUAUACCAGCAAACCACCUGUGUGACCAUGGGCAAGUGACUUCACCUCUCAUGUCUCAGAUUGCUCAUCUGGAAACUAGGGAUGGUAAUAGCGCCUCCUAGGGUUGAUUCAAGGAGCAAAGGAGUUAGAUGAGGUUUCUCAGUUAAUCCUCUUGACAACUUUUUAAAGCAGCUACUGUUAAAGAACAGAGAGGUAAAAUAACUUGUCUGAAGUUACACAGCUAAGAAGUGUUAUUGCCAGGAUAGAGCCCCAGGCCCGGCUCUCAGCCAUGCUGCUGUCUCAGUGUAGCUUGAUGUAGGUGGCUUCUCCCUGCCCAUCUCUUCCCCCUGUGGGUCCCUGCUUGGCCCACCUCACCUGUCAGCCAGUGGAUUCAACUCUGCAUCAGGCCCAGCACAGAGAAGGCAAAGAUAAAGCCUUCUAAACAAAGUAACAUCAGCAGGAACGAUCCCCUUCUUUGCAUUUGGGUCAAGUAGUUCAUGAGAUAGAGCAGAAAGAGCAUGGGCUUGGCUACCUGAGAGAUCCAGGUUCAAAGCCACUUCUGCUCCUAACUGGCUGUGUGACCUGGAGCUGGUGACUUAACCUCUCUGAGCCUCAGCUUGCCAUGGUGCAGUGGGAAUGGUCGUUCUUGAUCUGCCUGCCCCAUGUGAGGGGCAAGAGGGGGACAGAAGUGGAAAUGGAGUUAAAGGAUUGUCAUUGCUCCAGGAGGCAGAAUCCUAAGACUUGGGACCUAUGCACUUCACUCUGUGUAAAUUAUACCUCAAUAAAAGGAAAUGUACAGACAAAAA